rnacentral:rRNA from 1 species
GACGAACGCUGGCGGCGUGCUUAACACAUGCAAGUCGAACGGAAAGGCCCUGCUUUUGUGGGGUGCUCGAGUGGCGAACGGGUGAGUAACACGUGAGUAACCUGCCCUUGACUUUGGGAUAACUUCAGGAAACUGGGGCUAAUACCGGAUAGGAGCUCCUGCUGCAUGGUGGGGGUUGGAAAGUUUCGGCGGUUGGGGAUGGACUCGCGGCUUAUCAGCUUGUUGGUGGGGUAGUGGCUUACCAAGGUUUUGACGGGUAGCCGGCCUGGGAGGGUGACCGGCCACAUUGGGACUGAGAUACGGCCCAGACGCGUACGGGAGGCAACAGUGGGGAAUAUUGCACAGUGGGCGGAAGCCUGAUGCAGCGGCGCCGCGUGCGGGAUGACGGGCUUCGGGUUGUAAACCGCUUUCGCCUGUGACGAAGCGUGAGUGACGGUAAUGGGUAAAGAAGCACCGGCUAACUACGUG